GGCUGCGGGGGACGGGGCUGCCGCCGCCGCGGUGCACGCCCGGGCCGAGCCCCUCAGGGAGGCCGGCGUGGACGAGGAGGUGGAAAUGGCGUUGCAGCUCGCCCUGGAGCGGUUCCGGAGCGGGGACGAGGGGGGUGCGCGGCAUGGCCCGGCCCGGGGGCAGCCUGCGGGGAGGGCGCUGGCGGCGGGUCAGGGAGGGGAUCCUGCCUCUCUGCCCGGCCGUAGUGAGGUACAGCUGGGGUGCUGUGUCCAGCUCUGGGCUCUCCAGCACGGAGACAGAGAGCUACUGGAGGGGGUCCGGCAGAGACCACUGAGAUGAGAUGAGAGGUCUGGAGCAUCUCUUACCAGGAGAGGUGUGGGAGUUGGUCCUGUUUAGCCCAGAGGAGACUGAGAGGGGAUCUUACUAAUGCAUAUGAAUAUCUCCAAGGUGAGUCCCAGGAAGGCGGUGCAGACUUUUUGGUGGCAGGACAAGGAGCAAUGGCCAUAAAUUGAAACAGAAGAAGUUCCACCUGAACAUGAGGGAGAACUUCUUUCCUUUGAGAGUGGUAGAGCACUGAAACUGCUGCCCAGGGAAAGCGCUGAAUUUCCCCCUCUGGAGACACCCCAAACCCUAGAUGUGUUCCUCUGUCACCUGCUCCAGGUGACCCUGCAGGGGGCUUGCACUGGGUGGUCUCCCUUCCAAUCCUAACAAUUCUGUCGUUCUGUAACAUUGAGAUGUCAAGAUUACUGCCUGUUGCAUUGUUACUGUUUUUUCAUUAUUAUUUAUCAUUCUAGAGAUGGAAUUUCCUUCUAGUUUCACUAGUACUGAAAGAGCAUUUGUUCACCGUCUCUGUCAGUCUCUUGGAAUGGUAUCUAAAAGGAGAGGAAAAGGAGCCAAUUGAUACCUGACUGUAAGGAAGAAGGACAUGUCAGAGGCACACGCAGUCAUGACUUGUGACUUGGCUCUCCAUACGAAACACACAGUUUGGAGUCUAAUUCAGCACUUUCCCGUCACAAAUAAGAAACACGCAGAACUCCUGCCAAGGACAGAGCGAGGAAGUGCCUGUGCUGUUGAAUCUGGUAUGUUCAGCAUGUGUUCUGAUUUGGACUUGUCCAUUGACACCACUUGAAAAAACCACCUGCAACCCAAAAGAAAACAAACCUCUUUCUGCUCUGUCCCCUCUGGUAUCCUGACAGACACCUUCAAACAAAUGCAUUAAUUUUCCUUACUUUUAAGGUCUUUUAUAACUGGUGCUGUGAGGAACUUGGGAAGUCAUAUCAUGCACAUUGAGAUGUCCACCUUGUGUUGUGUUAAUUUAGAAUCAUUGAGCCAGUUCCAGCCAAAUCUUUUUGGAAGCACAUUUUGAAAUGUGACUUCAUACAAA